UACAGAGGUCUCAAGCGAUUGUUCGGAUUCAGUUGGGCGUAAAGGGUGCGUAGGCGGCGCGGUAAGUCGGGUGUGGAAAUCUCGGAGCUUAACUCCGAAACUGCAUUCGAUACUGCCGUGCUUGAGGACUGGAGAGGAGACUGGAAUUUACGGUGUAGCGGUGAAAUGCGUAGAUAUCGUAAGGAAGACCAGUGGCGGAAGGCGGGUCUCUGGACAGUUCCUGACGCUGAGGCACGAAGGCCCAGGG
rnacentral:rRNA from 1 species